UACGGAGGAUGCGAGCGUUAUCCGGAUUUAUUGGGUUUAAAGGGUGCGCAGGCGGCACGGCAAGCCGGCGGUCAAAUCGCGGGGCUCAACCCCGCCCAGCCGUCGGAACUGCCGGGCUAGAGUGGGCGAGAAGUGCGCGGAAUGCGUGGUGUAGCGGUGAAAUGCAUAGAUAUCACGCAGAACUCCGAUUGCGAAGGCAGCAUACCGGCGCCCGACUGACGCUGAGGCACGAAAGCGUGGGGAUCGAACAGG
rnacentral:rRNA from 1 species